CUUCAAAUCAAGACGCAGAACUUUCAGCUCCUUCUCCAGCAUCAUGUCUGCCUCCAUGUUGUUGGCUUCCUGCUAUGAUGAUAGUGGGCUAAACUUCAGAACUGUCACAAAAGAAGAAUGUGCGUUGAGGACUCUUGUGGAGAGCUACAAACCCUUUCAAAAGUGGGAAGUGUUUGCAAAGGUAAGACACUGUAAAGCCAAGUGAGAGAGUCUCCUCCCAGGAUGCUGUGCUGAUGCAACAACAACAACAAAUAGUGACAUGCAAGCACGACUCAGUACUUGUAGAAUUUGCAUAAAAUCAAAGUUGUUCAGA